AUUGAACGCUGGCGGCACGCUUAACACAUGCAAGUCGAACGGUAGCAGUCGCUUCGGAGCGCUGACGAGUGGCCGACGGGGGCGUAAUGCGUAGGAAUCUGCCUCAUCGAGUGGGAUCGCCUGGGGAAACUUAGGGUAAUACCGCAUAAGCCCUAUGGGGGAAAGCAGGGGAGCGCAAGGGCUUUCGCACUGAGACGAGCCUACGUCGGAUUAGCGUGUUGGUGGGGUAAAGGCCUACCAAGGCAAGGAACCGUAGCUGGUCUCGAGAGGACGACCAGCCACACUGGGACUGAGACACGGCCCAGACUCCUACGGGAGGCAGCAGUGGGGAAUAUUGGACAAUGGGCGCAAGCCUGAUCCAGCGAUGCCGCGUGUGUGAAGAAGGCCUGCGGGUUGUAAAGCACUUUCAGUGGGGAGAAGAGGCCGAUACCUAAUACGUAUCGGAUGAGAUGUUACCCAAAGAAGAAGCACCGGCUAACUCUGUGCCAGCAGCCGCGGUAA
rnacentral:rRNA from 1 species